rnacentral:rRNA from 1 species
CCGGGACCAUCCGGUAAGGCUAAAUACUCCCGAGAGACCGAUAGCGAACCAGUACCGUGAGGGAAAGGUGAAAAGCACUUCGAACAGAAGAGUGAAAUAGUUCCUGAAACCGUGCGCCUACAAGCGGUCGGAGCUCGUUAAUGAGUGACGGCGUGCCUUUUGCAUAAUGAACCUACGAGUUGCCUUUGCCGGCAAGGUUAAGUGUGACGACACACGUAUCCGAAGCGAAAGCGAGUCUGAACAGGGCGUAUAGUCGGCAGUGGCAGACGCGAAACCAAGUGAUCUACCCUUGGCCAGGUUGAAGGCUGGGUAACACCAGCUGGAGGACCGCACCAAUAAGCGUUGAAAAGCUUCUGGAUGAGCUGAGGGUAGGGGUGAAAGGCUAAUCAAACUUGGAGAUAGCUCGUACUCCCCGAAAUGCAUUUAGGUGCAGCCUUGCGGGUUACUGAUGUGAGGUAGAGCGACUGAUAAGAUGCGAGGGCUUCACCGCCUAUCAAGUCUUGACAAACUCCGAAUGCGCAUCAGUUCUACCGCAGGAGUGAGGGCAUGGGUGCUAAGGUCCGUGCCCGAGAGGAGAAGAAUCCGGACCACCUGCUAAGGUCCCGAAAUGACAGCUAAGUUAAACUAACGAAGUCUGACUGCUAAGACAGCUAGGAUGUUGGCUUGGAAGCAGCCAUUCAUUUAAAGAGUGCGUAACAGCUCACUAGUCGAGGAGUCGGGCGUGGAUAAUAAUCGGGUAUCAAGUUGUCUACCGAAGCAGUGGGAUCAUUGAUAUGAUCGGUAGGGGAGCAUUCCAGUCGGCGUCGAAGGCGUACCGUGAGGUAUUCUGGAGCGUCUGGAAAAGCAAAUGUAGGUAUAAGUAACGAUAAAGGGGGCGGGAAACCCCCUCGCCGAAAGACUAAGGUUUCCUGAUCAACGCUAAUCGGAUCAGGGUCAGUCGGGUCCUAAGGCUCAGCCGAACGGCGAUGCCGAUGGCAGAAACGGUUAAUAUUCCGUUACUACCUUCAGGAGUGACGUGGAGACGCAGUAGUGACAGUGCCGCCAUCUGACGGAAUAGAUGGUUGAAGGGUGUAGGAGUCGAUCAUGGCAGGCAAAUCCACCAUGAGAUCCGAACCUGACAGUAUGCCGCGUCCUUCGGGACAAGGCAAUAGUGCGCGUAAGCAUGCUGCCGAGAAAAUCCGCUAAACUUAAUCCUGCAGGUACCCGUACCGCAAACGGACACACGUAGUCGGGAUGAAUAUUCUAAGGCGCUUGAGUGAUUCACGGUUAAGGAACUAGGCAAACUGACCCUGUAACUUCGGGAUAAAGGGUCCCUACCCUUUUAUGGGAGGGCGCAGAGAAUCGGUCCAGGCAACUGUUUAACAAAAACACAGGGCUGUGCCAAAUCGAAAGAUCCAGUAUACAGCCUGACACCUGCCCGGUGCUGGAAGGUUAAGAGGAGAUGUCAUCGAUAAGAGAAGCGUUGAAUUGAAGCCCCAGUAAACGGCGGCCGUAACUAUAACGGUCCUAAGGUAGCGAAAUUCCUUGUCGGGUAAGUUCCGACCUGCACGAAUGGUGUAAUGAUCUGGACGCUGUCUCAACCGUGAGCUCAGUGAAAUUGUAGUAUCGGUGAAGAUGCCGAUUACCCGCGAUGGGACGAAAAGACCCCGUGAACCUUUACUAUAGCUUAUCAUUGAAUCUGGGCACGUGAUGUGUAGGAUAGGUCGGAGGCUUUGAAGCAGGUACGCCAGUAUUUGUGGAGCCGCUGUUGAAAUACGACCCUUUAUUUGUUUGGAUUCUAACCCGUGGAACGGGGACAUUGAUUGGUGGGUAGUUUGACUGGGGUGGUCGCCUCCAAAAGCGUAACGGAGGCUUCUAAAGGUGCCCUCCGGCCGAUUGGUAACCGGCCUUAGAGUGUAAUGGCAUAAGGGCGCUUGACUGGGAGACUGACAAGUCGAUCAGGUAGGAAACUAGAGCAUAGUGAUCCGGUGUUUCC